AUACGUAGGUGACAAGCGUUAUCCGGAUUUACUGGGCGUAAAGGGCGUGUAGGCGGUCUAGCAAGUCAGAAGUGAAAUUCCUGAGCUCAACUCGGGCGCUGCGAUUGAAACUGUUCAUCUUGAGUGCCGGAGAGGAAAGCGGAAUUCCUAGUGUAGCGGUGAAAUGCGUAGAUAUUAGGAGGAACACCGGUGGCGAAGGCGGCUUUCUGGACGGUAACUGACGCUGAGGCGCGAAAGUGUGGGGAGCAAACAGGAUUAGAUACCCUGGUAGUCCACACUGUAAACGAUGGAUACUAGGUGUAGGAGGUAUCGACCCCUUCUGUGCCGCAGUUAACACAAUACGUAUCCCACCUGGGGAGUACGACCGCAAGGUUGAAACUCAAAGGAAUUGGCGGGG
rnacentral:rRNA from 1 species